CAGGUGCUGAACUUGAAACCUGAGUUGCCCGCUCCAGCUGGGCUGUUGCUCAUCCUUACUCCCAGCCUGUGGAGGAACUGGGAAGAAUCACAGCAGGACACUACUAGAAAGCAUUGCGUUUCUGGGCUCACCCUUGUGAGGAAGACGCAACCCUGAUGGUGGAAGUUUGGCAAAGGCCACUCUGAUGAUGUCUGCAGCAGGUGGCAGGGAUGCAUGCACUGUCUGCUUCAUUUUUGCAGCCACAUCUGCUACUGGCCACAGCUACCGAAGUUCUCCUGGGAGUGGAUACGGAGAGGAUCACUGGCAUCAAACUAGUUACAUGAAUUUUGAUCAGUACUCUGUGAAUGGAGGGAUGCAGCCACACGAAUUUGAAGAUCUGUAGAUGUACUUCGGGAAGCAUUUGAAAAUCUUUCUCAGAUCAAAUGGACUACAGACCACACUUCUUUCCUCUUGUUUGUGUGUGACCCAAAUCUCAUGACCCAGGGUUCUAGCAAACACCUAAGUUGUGAAAGUCUCUCUGCUGUUGAUGGUUUCUCAGUGGGAGAAAAAAGAACAUGUG
rnacentral:lncRNA from 1 species